UACGUAGGGUGCAAGCGUUGUCCGGAAUUAUUGGGCGUAAAGAGCUCGUAGGCGGUUUGUCGCGUCUGCUGUGAAAACCCGAGGCUCAACCUCCAGCCUGCAGUGGGUACGGCAGACUAGAGUGCGGUAGGGGAGAUUGGAAUUCCUGGUGUAGCGGUGGAAUGCGCAGAUAUCAGGAGGAACACCGAUGGCGAAGGCAGAGUCU
rnacentral:rRNA from 1 species